AGAGUUUGAUCCUGGCUCAGGAUGAACGCUAGCGACAGGCCUAACACAUGCAAGUCGAGGGGCAGCACAUGAGUAGCAAUACGAUGGUGGCGACCGGCGCACGGGUGAGUAUCGCGUAUGCAACCUACCUUCCACAGGGGGAUAGCCUUCCGAAAGGGAGAUUAAUACCGCAUAAAACAGGGGCCCCGCAUGGGGAUAUUUGUUAAAGAUUUAUCGGUGGGAGAUGGGCAUGCGUUCCAUUAGCUAGUUGGCGGGGUAAUGGCCCACCAAGGCAUCGAUGGAUAGGGGAACUGAGAGGUUUAUCCCCCACACUGGAACUGAGACACGGUCCAGACUCCUACGGGAGGCAGCAGUGAGGAAUAUUGGUCAAUGGGCGGGAGCUGAACCAGCCAAGUCGCGUGAAGGAAGACGGUUCUAUGGAUUGUAAACUUCUUUUGCACUGGGGUAAAACGGGGGACGUGUCCCCCCUUGCAAGUACAGUGCGAAUAAGCAUCGGCUAACUCCGUGCCAGCAGCCGCGGUAAUACGGAGGAUGCGAGCGUUAUCCGGAUUUAUUGGGUUUAAAGGGUGCGUAGGCGGCCCCUUAAGUCAGCGGUAAAAUUUCUGCGCUCAACGCAGUCGUGCCGUUGAAACUGGGGGGCUUGAGUCUAGAUGAAGUGGGCGGAAUUUGUAGUGUAGCGGUGAAAUGCAUAGAUAUUACAAGGAACUCCGAUUGCGCAGGCAGCUCACUAAGCUAUCACUGACGCUGAAGCACGAAAGCGUGGGUAUCAAACAGGAUUAGAUACCCUGGUAGUCCACGCAGUAAACGAUGAUUACUCGCUGUUUGCGAUAUACAGCAAGCGGCUUAGCGAAAGCGUUAAGUAAUCCACCUGGGGAGUACGCCGGCAACGGUGAAACUCAAAGGAAUUGACGGGGGCCCGCACAAGCGGAGGAACAUGUGGUUUAAUUCGAUGAUACGCGAGAACCUUACCCGGGCUUGAAAUGCAGAGGAAUUACGUGGAAACAUGUACGCCGGCAACGGCCUCUGUGUAGGUGCUGCAUGGUUGUCGUCAGCUCGUGCCGUGAGGUGUCGGCUUAAGUGCCAUAACGAGCGCAACCCUCAUCGGUAGUUACCAUCAGGUCAUGCUGGGGACUCUACCGAGACUGCCGCCGUAAGGUGUGAGGAAGGUGGGGAUGACGUCAAAUCAGCACGGCCCUUACGUCCGGGGCGACACACGUGUUACAAUGGGGGGGACAAAGGGCAGCUACCUGGCGACAGGAUGCUAAUCUCCAAACCCCCUCUCAGUUCGGAUCGGAGUCUGCAACUCGACUCCGUGAAGCUGGAUUCGCUAGUAAUCGCGCAUCAGCCAUGGCGCGGUGAAUACGUUCCCGGGCCUUGUGCACACCGCCCGUCAAGCCAUGAAAGCCGGGGGUACCUGAAGUACGUAACCGCAAGGAGCGUCCUAGGGUAAAACUGGUGAUUGGGGCUAAGUCGUAACAAGGUA
rnacentral:rRNA from 1 species